rnacentral:rRNA from 1 species
UACGUAGGGUGCGAGCGUUAUUCGGAAUUACUGGGCGUAAAGCGUGCGCAGGCGGUUUUUUAAGACAGGCGUGAAAUCCCCGGGCUUAACCUGGGAACGGCGCUUGUGACUGGAAGGCUAGAGUACGGCAGAGGGGGGUGGAAUUCCACGUGUAGCAGUGAAAUGCGUAGAGAUGUGGAGGAACACCAAUGGCGAAGGCAGCCCCCUGGGUCGAUACUGACGCUCAUGCACGAAAGCGUGGGGAGCAAACAGG